ACUGGGAGAGAGUGACCAUGCCAAGGUCUAGACUAGCAGCCCCUCUGGGUGUUUUUGGAUUUGGGCCCAUCUGAGAUGGUCUGAAUCCUCACAGCACCCCGUGCGGGUGGGUAAAGGGGGCCCAUGCCAGGCGCCAGCUGCCCCCAUGGCCUGAGGGUGCCCACUUGAACCAUUCCAAGUAAACAUUUGACCAGCCCGGCCCCGGCCAUCAUCCCACGCCAACACUUGGCCCUUGUUCCCAGACAGGCCCCUCUGUGUCCCGUCCUUUGUGGCUGACAUUUCAGCUGGGCCCUGGAGGGGCUGGGGUGACCCCGUGCCCCAUCCGCAUUCUGCAGAAAGGCCCUAGAGAGGUGGUCCCUGUGAGGCAGGCACUCGGCGGGGGAGUCCCAGCAGACGAGCCGUCGCCAGGCUGGGCCAGCCACCCCCUUGAAUGCCCCACGUGGGCCGCAGGCCUGUGGAGCCCAUGGGGCCGCCAGGCCUGUGGAGCCAUGGGGCCGCCAGCUGACUCGGCUGCUUUGUUCCAGGCCUGGAGUGGUCUGAGCACAGCUGAGGACUGUGGCUCCUUCUUUGCUGAGAAGCCGCAGAUAACGCAGGCGACAGGGCCUGAUAAAGCGUCUGUCAGAGGCUUCCUCCCAGACAGGCCCCGCUGUUCCCGCCGGCCCCAAGGGCCCCUGUAGCCCAAGCCUGUCUCCAGAGGUCAGCCCCUCUCUGGGGUCUCAGCCUUCCUGCCAGAGGCUGAGGAACAGGCUGGCAGACCCCUCCCCACUCAUAUCUUCAGUCUGACUCUCGAAAGUUCCUAAGGCCUCUGGGCCCAAGAACAGAAUAAAUUAAUCCUCUCUGAUUUAUUCCCAUGAAGAGAAUGUCAAGGAAUGUGACUCUCUCAAUGGAAUUCCAGACUGUGGCUCCUGGGGAUAUAGGGGGGAUGGGGUUGGGGGGGGGCACUGGAAUCUCUUCCUAGAGCCCUUCAAAUGACAUCCUGGGUCAUCUCUUUCAUGUCACAAAAGUCCACUCUAUGACAGGCUGUAUGAUGGGUGUAGGGGGCACAGGAGUAAAGACAUGGCUCGUGACCAUAGGAGCUUCCAGAAAGAGGGUACAGGAAGAUCCACCCCACGCUGACCUGAUGUGGGCCUGCACCCCAGGCCUACAAUGGAGCCUGGCCUGGAGUAGGAGAAUAUACAUAUAGCACCACGCACACCGACCUCAAAUUCUUCACGGAACCCGAGUUCAAUGAACUUUUCCAUACGCAUAAACCUGUGGGACACCAACCAGAUCAUGAUGCAAAACACUUCCACCAUGCUAGAAGUUUCCCUGAAGCUCCCUUGCAGUCAGCAUCCCGCACGGGUAACUGCCAUCCCAGCCUCUCUCACUGAAGAUUGGCUCCGCCUGUUCCUGAACUUACUAACGGAGUAACAUGUACUCGUUCUUUGCGCCUGGCUUCUCUCACCCAACGAAAUGCCAGAUUCAUCCACGUUGUGGCAUCUAUCGAUGGUUUACAUUGUUGUUGUGGGAUGUGCCAGGGCACAAUGAUACCAUACCUUUUCCGGCCACUCUUCUACGGAGGGACAUUGGGGCUGAUUCCAUUUGGGGCUAUUGUGACCAACCCCUAGGAACUCCUAGUGCCUUUAGGACACAUGCGUUUAUUUCCCUUGGCUAUGUACCUAGGAGUGUGCCUGCUAGGUCAGAGGGUGGGCAUAUACUUGUUGUCACAGCUAUUUAGACGGUAGGUAUAUGGAGUCCCAUUUUACAGAUGGGGAGAUGGAGGUUCAGAGAAUUUAAGCAGCUGAUCCAAGCUCGUGCAAUUGCUAAGUAGUGAGGACUGGUCUGGAAUCCGGAGGUUGUUCUGACUCCAAAUUCUUUUUCAGGAGAGGUCAGCGUUCCUGCCAAUCUUUCCAGUUCUGCUUUCUAGAACAGGUAAAGGAGGUGCCAGGGUGGAGGGAACCAAAUAGAAGGGGAGAGAAAAGGGUGACUCUGAUGGGCUACUUUGUAAAUGGCUGCUGGGGAUGUCCAGGCUGCCUUGGGAGGGCACAGCUCCACCCCGAGGCAGACACAGAAUAAGUGGGGCGACUGUGGAGUCACAAAGGCGGCCACAGCCCACCCCCUCUGCUCCCCAGUCUCAUUGCCUCCCUCUCCCUCCCCAUCACUCAGCCGCAUGGUAUUCCUUGCUCUUUCCUGAAAAUGCCAAGCAUACCCUGCUUCGCGGCCUUUCCACCUCAGCUCCCUCUUUCAGAACCGGACGACCGCAUGGCGCAUCCCCCCCUUGGUUGUGGUCUCUGCUCAGUCACCCAACCUAAGAGAGCGCCCCCAUCACAGGCUGUCCCCUUUUUUAAACUCUAUCUUAGCUCCCAUCUGACCUAA